CUGAGCCGGAGCGCCGCCAUCAUCAGCGACUCAGACGAGCUCACCAAAGCGAGACCGAGCCCCGCCUUGGGAGGCAACCGAUGAAGACCACCCGUCAAUUACUGUGCUUCAGUCAGUCGAGGUGAAAUAUGUCAGUGAUGCUGUGCAACAAAUUGAAAAUGCUUGCAUGGUCAGGUGCACUUGCAAGUCCAACGAAGGGUAGCCCUGCUAUUUGCUUUUUACCCCCAAGGAGAUGAGACGUGACAAGAUGAAUUAACUCACCAAUGAUGAAAAACAUCUAGUGCUCAUUGGACAGAUCACUGGUUCCAUGAACCUCUCCAAGGAAACUGUCAUCUCAAAGGAGCAAACAAGCAGAAAGGAGACAUCAGAUGAGGUCAUAUUUCCUUGAUUGCCAGCAGAUCUGAAGACUCAUAAGUUCUUUAGAGUAAUACAACUUGAUGUUUUCUGUUAUUUUGGGGCUGCAACAGUAUUACAAGUGCUUCCCAAACAGUUCGCGUUGCCCUUCUGCUAUAGGACAACACCCAUGACGUAUUUAUUCCAAACAUCUGUCAGCACAAAGAUUCAAGUCACUACCAGCCAUCAGGAUUUAAAACUGCUUUCAGAGGGCAUAACCACCUCAAGCUUGCUUUCAAAAUAAACAAUUCGCAACAGAAACUGAACAUCUGUUCAGGAAGUCAUAUCUAGGCUACUUCCCCAUUUCACAUUACAAAACAUUUCCCAAUUAUUGAACUAUGCAAUGAAAAUUGACUCAAUCCUAGUAUUCAUAUAUCAAAUCUCAUUUUCACUUGGCUUUUGGAACAAUUAACAUGAAAAAUACAGAAAAGUUGAUUCGCCCCAGACAAAUGACGCAGCCGGUGGUUGAAGUUGAAUUGAACAGUAUAAAAAAAAAUCAUAAUGGAGAAAGACCCAUUGAAAUCACCUAGAAUAUAUGUUGUCACGCACUACUCAUAAAGCAAAUUUAAAAUUUGUAUUAUUUAAAAACAUAAAAUACUGUCUCAUACAGUCAUUAUUAUUUUUAAUACCGUGAUAAUAUUUUGGCCAUAUCGCCCAGCCCUACUUUUUACUAAGCUAACAGAACACACACUCCGCUGACACGCAACAGAAACAGAAAACACAUCAAACCACAUUUACAUCUAUUUACAGUUCAAUCAAACCAAGGACUUGGAGCAGAGUCCAGUGCUUCAUAGCAUCUCAGUGAGCUGUCAAUCAUUUAACCUGGGAAAUAAAGAAGGGAAAUGGAUCUAAGUCCUCAUACAGCAGCUUAGACAUAUAGGGGUCGUAUUCACUAGACACCAAAGAGAAGAACACGGAACAAAAACAAACCUGAACUUAGAAACUAGUUUUUGUUGCAAAACCGGUUUGCAUCAAUGAAUAUAACAGUGUCUGGAUGUCUACAAUGGCUUAUUGUACACUAUAUCAGUGUGCUCAUGAAACUGAUUAUUAUUCCAUUUCUGUUAGUCACAUGUCUGUGGAACUUGUUCAGUU
ensembl:lncRNA